rnacentral:rRNA from 1 species
AAGCGGAGGAAAAGAAACCAACAGGGAUUGCCCUAGUAACGGCGAGUGAAGCGGCAACAGCUCAAAUUUGAAAUCCGGCUUCGGCCCGAGUUGUAAUUUGCAGAGGAAGCUUUAGGCGCGGCACCUUCUGAGUCCCCUGGAACGGGGCGCCAUAGAGGGUGAGAGCCCCGUAUAGUUGGAUGCCUAGCCUGUGUAAAGCUCCUUCGACGAGUCGAGUAGUUUGGGAAUGCUGCUCAAAAUGGGAGGUAAAUUUCUUCUAAAGCUAAAUACCGGCCAGAGACCGAUAGCGCACAAGUAGAGUGAUCGAAAGAUGAAAAGCACUUUGAAAAGAGGGUUAAAUAGCACGUGAAAUUGUUGAAAGGGAAGCGCUUGUGACCAGACUUGCGCCGGGCGGAUCAUCCGGUGUUCUCACCGGUGCACUCCGCCCGGCUCAGGCCAGCAUCGGUUCUCGCGGGGGGAUAAAGGUCUCGGGAACGUAGCUCCUCCGGGAGUGUUAUAGCCCGGGGCGUAAUGCCCUCGCGGGGACCGAGGUUCGCGCAUCUGCAAGGAUGCUGGCGUAAUGGUCAUCAGCGACCCGUCUUGAC